CAUUAACAAGUAGCCAUGAAAACUAGGGCUUUUGUGGAGCUAUGGCGCUCCCAGAGCAGGGAGUUCUUCUCUACUACAAGUUCGUCACGCUGCCGGAUCCCGAGGCGACCAGGGACUGGUUCGAGCGAUCGUGUUCUUCGCUGGCGCUGCUGGGGAGGAUACGGAUUGCGCCCGGGGGCGUCAAUGUCACGGUCGGAGGCAGCAUGGAAUCGCUGAGGGAGCACAUCGAUGCUGUCGCGAGGCAGGAGCUGUUCCAGGGAUGCGAUUUCAAGCUCGCUGCGUGCUCCCGGCCUAUGGAUCGCGAUGCCGCUGCGAGCUGUGGUUUAGAUUCCUUGUCCGUUCGUCUGGUUGAGGAAAUCGCGUGACGCUUGGUGUAUUCCCUUCUCCAUCGCUUGCAAAUGCUGGGAAGCAUCUAUCGCCAGAGCAGUUCCAUGGAAUGCUCGACCAAGCAGGGAGCUUGAAACAAAGCAACGCUGCCCCCCAAGAUACGCCAGUACAGUGACUUGCCUGCUUGGAUAGACGAGCGCGCGGAGC